UUUGACAGCAGUGGCUGCAGGAUGGGGGCCUGACUUCUCACUGAAUGGAGCCUGAAGCUUAGCAAGAGCAGUGCUGUGCUGUCUUCUCCUCUAAGCAGCUUCUGAGGAUCUCACUGCUCUUCACAAACCUGAUGGAAUUUAGCCUACCACCACCCCUCUGAGUACCCAUCAGAACCUGGCAAACCCAGCUGCAGUGGAUUGAAAGUCACAGGAUUACCAGAACCUGAGGCAGCAGGAAAAGCUGGGAAUCACUACAGGCCACAGGAGCAGUUCUUAGGAGCAGCUGAUGAAAUCAGCCAGCUGCUGUAUCGAGCCUGAGCUAGGUACCUGCUCCAUCACUGUGGCUGGGGCUGGGCGUGCUGUGGGGAUCUCCCAGUUUGAACGGCCACGUGACCUGCUGCAUGAAGUAACUGACUAAGUACAUGGG